rnacentral:tRNA from 1 species
ACCUAAUUAGUAUAACUUGUAUAAUUGACUUCCAAUCAAAAGGUCUGAAAUAAUUCAGAUUAGGUA